AGGACUGAACGCUGGCGGCGUGCCUCAAACAAUGCAAGUCGGAGCGGGGCUAUGUAAUAUCGCAAGGUAGAACAUAGCCUAGCGGCGAACGGGUGAGUAACACGUGGGUAACCUGACCUGGAAGACAGGGAUAACGAUUCGAGAGGGUCGCUAAUACCUGAUAAUAUCCUUUCAUCGCAUGGUGAUAGGAAGAAAGGGGAAACCCGCUUUCAGAUGGGCCCGCGUCCCAUCAGCUAGUUGGUAAGGUAAAGGCUUACCAAGGCGACGACGGGUAGCCGGUCUGAGAGGAUGUACGGCCACACUGGGACUGAGAUACGGCCCAGACUCCUACGGGAGGCAGCAGUUGGGAAUCUUAGGCAAUGGACGAAAGUCUGACCUAGCGACGCCGCGUGAGGGAAGAAGGCCUUCGGGUUGUAAACCUCUGUCAUGGGGGAAGAAGGAAGUGACGGUACCCCAAGAGGAAGCCCCUGCUAACUACGUG
rnacentral:rRNA from 1 species